UAGAAAGGCACUGUUCAUGAGGGGAAUCCUUUGGAAGUCCUGUCUUGCUGACAGAUAGGUCCCUUUGGAACAGAUUGGAGGUCUUCUCCCCACAGCAGAGGAAAAACAACAACAGCAACAACAAUACAAAAUGACAACAGAAAAAGCAAGAGACAGCAUUUCACCAUGUUGGGCAGGCUGGUCUCGAACUCCUGGGCCCGAGUGAUUCUCCCACCUCAGCCUCCCAAAAUGCUGGGACUCAAGGCAUGAGCCACUUCACCCGGCCAAUUUUAACUUUUUAAUGUCAAAAAAUUAUACAAACAAUAUAUGCUAAAUGGACCUAUGGAUAACAAUUAUACAAACAAUAUAUGCUAAAUGUAUAUAUGGAUAAAAAUAAAUAAUAAAGAAGUUAUAAAGUAAAAACUUAGAUUUCUUCUCUCCGAAUACAUAGUCCUACCCAUCAAGAAAACAGUAAAGUGUUUAAUGUGUGUGUCCAGAAAAGUUCAAUUUGCCAUGGUAUGUUUAGAAAGCUUUUAUUGAACUAUAUGAGAAUAUAUUAAGUACACAAUUAGUAAAUAGAUUGCUGAUGAAUUAUAAAUUGAACACACCCAUGUAAUUAUCACUAAGAUUCAGAAAUUAAAUAUUAUAAGCUUAUAAUAGCACUGGGAAGGGCUUUUUAAAAUAAGCCCUUUUCCUGCCCUCUCCGAAUCACCACUCUCUCCUUCCUUCCCAGAGAUAUAACUCUUAUCCUGAAUCCUAAAACUAUAAAUUAGUUUGCUUGGAUAAGUAGGAUUGUACCAACUGUCUUCUUCUGUGUCAAACUGCUUACUCUCAACAUAAUGUUUGCAAAAUUUAUCCAUGAUAGAAGGUGUUUGUUUUCUUACUUUAUUACCAUGAGACUUCUAAUAACAGGAACAUAGCAGUGACAUGCAUAUAGAAUAUAAUAUUCUAAUAUAUAAAAAUCACAGUUGAUCCAUUCUACUGUUGAAAGAUAUUUCAGUUGUUUCCAGUUUGGGGCUAUUGUGAAUAAUGCUGCAAUAAACAUUUUGUACAAAUGUUUCCCUGAACAUAUGUUUGAAUUACUAUUAGGUAUUCAUAUAGGGGUGUAAUUGUUAGGUUAUAUUUGUUAUGCUCAACUUUAAUAAAUAGUGCCAGUUUUUCAAAUGUUGUCUCCCCUCAGCUAUGAAUGUGAAAGUUCCAGUUGCUUUACUCCCUUACAGUAUUAUCAUGGUUGUUUUUUUAAAAAUUGGCCCAUUUGAGUGGGUUUAUAGUGGUAUUUCAUUGUGAUUUUUAUGUUUACUUCCCUAAUGACUAAUUUCUUAAUGUUUAUUGACCCUUUGUGUAUCUUCUUGGGAAAUACCAGUUCAUGUAUUUUGCCCAUUAAAAAAAUGUGUUGUCUGUCGUUUUGUUAUUGUUUUGCAGGAUUGUGUAUACAUUUUUAUUGUUACAUGUAAGAAAUGAUGUGGCUUUUCUUAUUGUUCUUUUAAUGGUGUCUUUUGAUGAUCAGAAAUUUCUCCAUAAAUUGGUAAAGAUUGGCUUAAUUGAACUGCGUUAAAACAAUAUCAUUUAUAAAUUGCAUCAGUGAUAUAAGCUAACCAGGAAUAAGGCUAAUGAAAACUAUACAAGAUCCAUUCUCAGAAA
rnacentral:lncRNA from 1 species